CUAAAAUCACUAUGUAUAACUAUUUGAAUUUAUUUAAAAGACGAAUCACAUCAAAGAUCCAAAUGAAAGUUUCUCAUCAUGUUUGUAUGCUGUAAAUCAGGUGUAAAGAAUUAAAAAAAGUAGCGUCUAGAUGGUUGCUUACAAAUUAGGUAUGGAAAAUGACUUCCAAUUAUGUUUAAAGUUAAAAAGAUUCUUUCAUUGGGCUCCAGUAAAUAAACCAUUUUGGUAAAGUGGAACCACAACAAUGUAUAUAGCGGCUAACAUGAUUCAUAGGUGCUCUCAUGUGAAGACAAACACCAUAUUGAAAUGUAAAGUUAAAACAAUUAUGAAGACAUGUUCCGCAUGCACAAGCAAUUAUGUUUGCUAAUUGGUAUAAAGUCACUUCACUAAACUGUUAAUGAUCCAGAAAAUAGCAUCCACGUACAUUGAAUCUAAAUGAUGUCCUUGGAUUCGCUAAUGAUUUUCUAUUAUAAAUUAUUUCUGUUUAUUCGAGUUGAAAUUGCAGUACUUCGUUAGAGGUGGGAAUGAAGAAAGUGUAUUUUUCAAAUAACAGUGUUUAAAAAGUAGGUCAAAUAAUGAGCUCCAAUCCAGUUACACAAAAGAUGCAAUAUCUAUAUAGAACCUAACUUAUAAUGACCAUACCCUACAAAACUAAUAUUUCCCCAAACGAAGUCCACAUCACAGCAAGGCAAUGAGCAAAGUUUCCUAUGGGGUAUUUGGGCACAAGGAAAAAAAAAAAGAUUAUUCCAUCAUAGAAAUUAUAAAUUCAAGAAAAAAAGCCAAUCUCAUUUCAAACGUAUGAAAGCAAAACACACAUUUUCCUAUGGGCAUGCAAAUGUAUGAAAGCAAAACCAAAUUCAGUACUUUCAAUGUCCUUUAGAUUAAGUUGACACUGACAAUGCAUAAUGUAUUCUAAAUUGCUAAGAUUGUACUUGUAGCAAAGAGAUGUUCCAUCAAUUGUAUAGUCUGAUCAACCUACACAUCUUUUAGCAAUAUUAAUUUGGAAAAUGGUGACCAAGGGAUGUACUACUAACCUCUGGGGCUAGCCAUCGGUAACCAUCUGUUUCAUACUCCAUCGCCUCACCCAUACUCUUGCAAGCAGUGACUAUUCCCAUAUCCCCUAAGCAUGCAUUCCCAUGCCUGUCCAAUAGAAUCCUCUGUGUAUUAAGGUCUCUAUAUGCAACACCAUGAUCAUUCAUGAAUUUAAUCCCUUCAGCUGCAUCUGCAGCAAUCUUUAUAAUCUCUUUAGUCUGAAGCUUCUUGUUCUUUAGCAUCAAGUCAUUAACAGAGCCACCUUCCAUCAAUUUGGUUACAACACAUAAGCCAUGAUUUUCAUCAACACAAACACCAUAAAAUUGAAGGAUAUUUUUAUGUCCGCAAGUCAUUAACUCCAAAAGGUCUUUGCGGAGUUCAAAGUCAUAAGAAUUCCCGUUGUCACAUCCUUUCAGCUUCUCAAUUCCAACCCUUUUGCCCUUGUAAACUCCCUUAAAAGAAUUUGGUCCAAUCUGAUCAAUAAACUCAAGAUUGUCAGAGUUCAAAAGCCAUUUCCCAAUCUCAUCUGCACCUGACUGAAUUGUUUGCCAUUCAUCAACUGAUAUAACAAAUGAUGAAGUUGGUAAGGGCAUCUCAAGCUGAAUCUUCACACUCAAAUUCUCAGUGCCAUUCCUGUAAUUCUGUUCACUAGGAUCCUCUUCAAUUUCACCAAAAUCUCUCCCUCUAGUAUUCUCUUCCUGGCACCCACAAAGCCCAAAUGGAAGCUUCACUGCAGUUGGUUUGGGCUUCUUCAUAGCCGAUUUUAAAGCACUUUCAACCCAGGUUUUGAUCGGUUUCUCUUGGCCAGCUUGAACUAAAAGAAGAACCACCCCAAGAGUAAACCCCUUCUUUUCGAAGAUCUGAAUCUUCUUGCAGCAAAUAGAAGCGCUAUCUAAUGCAAUAGACAUUGCAGGCCAUGAAAUCGAAGAGUUACAGACAAAUGUAAGCUUGAAUACAGAAUCCUGUAUCUCAUCAUCAGAUGCUUCCUGUAUAACUAUUGCUGGUUGCUCAUCCACCGAAACCUGCUCUAUCAACUUUAUGUGUAGAAACACGUCUUUCAUAUCAAACCCUGCUUGUGCAUAGCUGUCGAAUGACCAGGAGAAAAAAGACUACACAUUAAACACAAAAGCUCUGCUAACAAUUUAGAAAUCACUGGUUAGUACAGUAAUAUGGAGUGCAUUCUAAUAUAUGUCUCCUUUUCUUAAUAGAUUAGAACAAAAAGAAAGAAUGGUAUUCUUGCAUUAGCUUUGCAACAGAGACAUAACACUAAAAAUCUCAAAUUCAUUUAUUUUUCCUGCAUUUCGCGGCAAACAAACAUAAAUUUAGAUAAAGGAUGAAAUAUUCCAAUAAGCCGUAAGUACCAAACCUGAGAGGCAAAGAAUCAUAAUGCUUCCUAAUGUUGGAUACUAGCUUCUCCGGCAACUGGCUACCUGGGUACAGCUGCGUGAGGUUUCUUACAACACUAGCCCACACGACCUUCUUGCUACCAUCAAUCUUAUUGCCAUUAUCACUCAAUUGUCGCGGUGCUUGCUGCUGCUGAAGCUGCAGAACCUGCAUUUGCGGGUGACGCGCCGAGUCAAGAUUCAGUGAGUUCUUAAGCGAAGCAAUCGCCUCCAACACGUUUCUACUCAGUCUCUGAAACCGCUUCUGCAUCGCGGAGGAUGAUGUGUCUUUGAUUGGAAGAUUUGAAGACAAGGAGGAGGAACUUUCAGGUUGUAAGGUUGUUUCUGAUCUAUCUUGGGUUCGCAUCAGGACUUGCUCCACCAUGUCCUCAUCGGUGCUGGCUCUGCUCGACCAGCACUCUAAGGCCGCAGCCAUGGUUCGGUGGAGGAUCUGGGAACGUGGGUUCGGGCUAAGGAGUGAGGAGUUAAGCACCAGUGAGGUUAAAGCUUAACUAAAAAAGCAAAUGGUCUCUGCUUCAGAUUUCUGGUUUUGGCCAUUUUUAUUUUUCUCUCCUGUCAGGGGAAAACGCAGAGAUGCGGGGGAGUUUGUUUAGGAAGGUAAAGUGUAA
rnacentral:misc_RNA from 1 species